rnacentral:rRNA from 1 species
UACAGAGACUGCAAGCGUUAUUCGGAUUCACUGGGCGUAAAGGGUGCGCAGGCGGCCAAGUGUGUUAGGCGUGAAGGCCCGGGGCUUAACCCCGGAAUUGCACCUAAAACUACAUGGCUAGAGCAUUGGAGAGGGUAGCGGAAUUCACGGUGUAGCAGUGAAAUGCGUAGAUAUCGUGAGGAACACCAGAGGCGAAGGCGGCUACCUGGACAAUUGCUGACGCUCAGGCACGAAAGCGUGGGGAGCAAACAGG